CCUACGGGUGGCUGCAGUAGGGAAUAUUGGUCAAUGGGCGAGAGCCUGAACCAGCCAUGCCGCGUGCAGGAAGAAGGCCCUCUGGGUUGUAAACUGCUUUUGACCAGGGCCAAAAUACCCAUGCGUGGGGAAUUGAGAGUACUGGUAGAAUAAGCACCGGCUAACUCCGUGCCAGCAGCCGCGGUAAUACGGAGGGUGCAAGCGUUGUCCGGAUUUAUUGGGUUUAAAGGGUGCGUAGGUGGCUCUAUAAGUCAGUGGUGAAAGCCUGCAGCUUA
rnacentral:rRNA from 1 species